AGAUUGAACGCUGGCGGCAUGCCUAACACAUGCAAGUCGAACGGGAGUAGCAAUACUCUAGUGGCGGACGGGUGAGGAAUACGUAGGAAUUUGCCCUUAAGUGGGGGAUAACCCGGGGAAACCCGGAUUAAUACCGCAUGACCUCGAAAGAGCAAAGUGGGGGAUCGCAAGACCUCACGCUUUUGGAGAAGCCUACGUCGGAUUAGCUAGUUGGUGAGGUAAUGGCUCACCAAGGCGACGAUCCGUAACUGGUCUGAGAGGAUGAUCAGUCACACCGGAACUGAGACACGGUCCGGACUCCUACGGGAGGCAGCAGUGGGGAAUAUUGGACAAUGGGCGCAAGCCUGAUCCAGCAAUGACCGCGUGUGUGAAGGAAGCCGUUGGUUGUAAGCACUUUAAGUUAGGGAAGAAAAACUCGACUACUAACACAAGUAGAGUCGUUGACGGUACCGUAC
rnacentral:rRNA from 1 species